CACCAGCUCAGACAAAUCUUUACAGUCACAGUGACAGUCCACUGGGUCUUCAGUUAUGACUGAGCAAGGACUCUGGUGUCCAGGUAUAAUUAAAAUACACUCAGACCUAGACUGGAAAAGCCUUCAGCACAGAAUGAGGUCAUCUUUUAAAUUUCACUAUUCACUUUCACUUCUCCACAUGACUGCUUGGUUGGAGCUGAAAAAACAUGACAUCGAACAGUUGGACAGAACUGUACAGGAAAACAUCAACUCUCCAAAAUUUACUUUCUUUAUGCAACUGACAUCUCCUAAGCAACAAACGGCUGAAAUUCUUUUCAAAAUCUGCAAGACUUCGUUAUUUUAGGAAAGCCUAGCUUUAAUUACUGUAGAAUGCUUUCUAAUGCUCAAAGACCACCUAAACUCAUUUGAUGCCCUUUUAAACUUUGUUCUGCUAUUAUUAUUUAGAGGAUGAAAUAGAUUUAAAGAGGGUUAUUUGCCCCAAAUAAGUAGUGGAAUUGAAACUUGAACUCAGAUCUUCCAAAUACAACUUACUACUCC
ensembl:lncRNA